rnacentral:rRNA from 1 species
CCUACGGGUGGCAGCAGUGGGGAAUAUUGGACAAUGUGUGGAACCCUGAUCCAGCGACGCCGCGUGAGUGAAGAAGUAUUUCGGUAUGUAAAGCUCUAUCUGUAGGGAAGAAAGUAAUGACGGUACCUUACUAAGAAGCCCCAGCUAACUACAGGCAUGCAGACCCGGUAAUACGUCGGGCGCAAGCGUUAUCCGGAUUUACGGGGUGUAAAGGGAGCGUAGAAGGCGAUGCAAGUCAGAAGGGAAAGGCGGGGGGCAAACCCCCGGAGUGAUGUUGAAACUGGAUGGCGGGAGUGCAGGUGAGGUAAGAGGAAUACGUAGUGUAGCGGUGAAAUGCGUAGAUAUUAGGAGGAACACUCGUAGCGAAGGCGGCUUAC